rnacentral:rRNA from 1 species
GGGAAGAGCUCAAAUUUAAAAUCUGGCUUGCUUGCCAGUCCGAGUUGUAGUCUGAACAAACGUUUUCCAUGAAAGCUGAGGCACAAGUCCUUUGGAACAGGGCAUCAUANAGGGUGAGAAUCCCGUCCAUGGUCUCAUGCAUUUUAUUUUGUGAUACGUUUUCUAAGAGUCAGGUUGUUUGGGAAUGCAGCCUAAAAUGGGUGGUAAAUUUCAUCUAAAGCUAAAUAUUGGCGAGAGACCGAUAGCGAACAAGUACCGUGAGGGAAAGAUGAAAAGAACUUUGAAAAGAGAGUUAAAAAGUACGUGAAAUUGUUGAAAGGGAACCGUUUGAGGCCAGUCUUGCUUACUUGUGAUCAAUCUUANCUUCGGNUUGGAUGCACUCUCUAGUUAUGCAGGUCAACGUCNGUUUGAGAGGUGGGAAAAAAGUUUGAGGAAUGUGNNCUUCGGGUGUUAUANCCUCUUACUAAAUACCAUCUCCUGGACUGA